GGUGUCACAGGCCGCAAGAUUAUUGUGGACACAUACGGAGGCUGGGGUGCCCAUGGUGGUGGUGCCUUCUCUGGAAAGGACUACACCAAGGUGGACCGCUCAGCAGCUUAUGCCGCCCGCUGGGUGGCCAAGUCUCUGGUGAAGGCUGGGCUCUGCCGGAGAGUCCUUGUUCAGGUAGGUUGCCCCCACCUACUCUGAUCCUACCUUCCUGUCCUUGCCAAAGGCUCCAGCCUAGCCUGGAUAAAGAGAUAUGAGCCCAGUGGGAAAGCCUUCUUUUGGUCAUUGGUUGCAUCUCUGCAUAGAUUGCACUGGCUACCAUGGCUGGAGCCCUGGCAAGCUAGGGAAGGAGGGAGCACACCUGAAGACAGAGGGCUACUGGGCAGGAGAAGUAGGGGCUUUGUUGGCAGGAGAAGUGUGAUGCCUGCUGCCUCUGCUCUGUAAAGUCUGUGAGAGGCUCGGUCUCUGAGCCAGAUCUUUCUUGAAGGUGUCCUAUGCCAUUGGUGUGGCAGAACCUCUGUCCAUUUCCAUUUUCACCUACGGAACUUCCAAGAAGACCGAGCGAGAGCUACUAGAGGUUGUGAACAAGAACUUUGAUCUCCGGCCGGGUGUUAUUGUCAGGGACUUGGAUCUGAAGAAGCCCAUCUACCAGAAGACUGCAUGCUAUGGUCAUUUCGGAAGAAGCGAGUUUCCCUGGGAGGUCCCCAAGAAGCUUGUGUUUUAGAGCUGCCGGGAAGCUUAGCUCUGUCCUAUACUCAACCUCCUCAAGAUCUCAACUCCCUGGUCUCAGAGAGCCCUCCCUGCUUCCCACCCUCAUGGCAAAGCCAGCUUCCUCUGAUUUUCCCCCUACCCGGCAAUCUGCAAACAUCUUAUUAGUGGCAAGGCAGGUGGUUUCUGGUGCUAGGUCAUCAGGUCUCCUUGCAAGGAUAGUCAGUGUUCCCUCCCUGUCUCUCAGAUGACAGCAAUGUUAAUUUUGUGUAAAAGUUGCUCCUAUCAUCCCCUCCCGUAGUCUGAAGCUAACCAGGCCAUCUCUUCCUCCGUCCUGGACAUGUGCCCAGACGAAUGUUUUGUCCCAUAUCUCUGGCUUCCCCUUUACAUUGGCAGCCAGAGGUCCUGAGCCGGGGCUUCCUCAGGGUCCCUCUGAGACUGGGCAUCUGCUCCCUAGGAUAUGGUCAGUGUCCCCUGAACAUCUGCAUUCUGUGAGGGACUGAGCUGUGUGUUCUUCAUCCCAACACAAUAAGGUGGUAUCGUCAUUAUCCACAGUGACAGAUGGGGAAACUGAGGCUCGGAGAGUUAUGGAGCUCUGACAGGUUCCUAUAGCUGCGUGCACCAGAGUCAAGAAACAGAUCUUGACUCUAGGAAUUUUGACUCUAACCCUCACACCUGCAUCCCAAACAAGAUGUUGACCAGAGUGAUGACACAUGGAUUGACAAGAGGUUAUGACCUCUUAUUUAAGGCCUGGGUUUCAGGAGAAUUAGAUGAACCUAAUGGCUCUUGGUGAGCCCUGGACAGUGUUCCCACAAAAUCAAGAUGGAAACAUGUAAGUGUCUCAUUUGUUCUGGAAGAGGGCUUAAGGAAAGCUGAGCAUCUUGGUCUAUAAAGCUGGACUGGGGUCUGUAAUUAAGAGGAAGCUUCAUGGUCCUAGCGCCCAACACUCAAAGACAGGUGUGUGAAUUCUUUGAGCAUGGGAUCUAAUCAUGGACAGCCCCAUGUGCUUGCUUCCUCACAGAGGAGAGGCAGUUCGUUGUUCCAGCACAGACAACCAGCCUCUAUAGGGGACCCUUCAAGGCUUUCUUGUGCCCUGGACCCUCACACUUAUGCAGUCUGAAUGCUGCUAGGGAAGUGGGUGAUCCAGGUGAGGAGCCAGCGUCCAAGCAGUUGACAAGUUGCCCAAGAUCUCACAAGAACUGACUUUUACCAGGUAGCCUGGGUGUGUCUGUCUAGCAGAGUCCUGAGAACAUGUCUCUAGGUGUCCCAUCAUGAUCAGCAUCACACACCCAGCCUGUCCCUCGUUGGGGCUUCCCCACAGCAUACUGCCCUCAUAGCUCUCAAACACGUGGCUUCAGGAACGGACCUGGCUCAUAUCGAUGGUUCUGGCUUAGGAGAAGGACUGAGCAGCUUCAUCAAGGAGCAGACACCUUGCAUCUGCCUUAACUGGACAGAGACCCCAGCUUUCCCCAUUCCACCAGGGCGAGGAAACAGCAGAGAGAAAAGCCCCAGGAGCCAACAGAUCCUGAAGCUGUAUGUGAUGUAGAAGCUUGGGUCUUUCCAUGGGGUCAGGGCUGCCUGGGAGCCAAGUUCCUCACAGCAGAGGGAAGGAUGGGUAUGCAGAAGGCUGAAUUCCUGUAACUUAAGCUUUAUCUAAAUAAAAAUCCAGAAUUGUAUACUUGUUCUAA
rnacentral:lncRNA from 1 species